AGCAACAACGGGUUGGUUUGUGUUCUGCAAUGGCUAGCAGUCCGUCCCGAGUCUUUGCGGCUCUUUUACCCCACGCGGGAGAUGUUUACCGGGACGAAAACAUUCUGCGGACCGUUCAACAGACACAGAAGAGCGCGAGGGAAGUCCAUGUGACGGGGAGCGCGGAGAUCUCGUGUUCAGCCGACCGGGCUACGUUUUCUGUUAGCAUCACAAACAGCAAGGAGACGGUGAAUGACGUCACCAACAGCGUCUCGAGGAGAGUGGAGUACGUUCUGCAGACCCUAAGACAACACAAUGUGAAGGAAGACGAAAUGUCAGUGAUGAGACACAUUAAUAGAUCUGAGAACCUGUUCACCAUGGAGACUCAGGUGACUGUAGUGUUCUCAGACUUUGUGAAGAUGCAGAGUGUGUGUGUUGUUCUACUGGAGAAGCUAGGUCAGAGUGUGGAUGUCAGUCAGCCCCGCUACUACCACAGCCAAGAGUGUCUGAGCUUACUGAGGCGACGUGUCUGUGCAGCGGCAGUAGAGAAUGCGCGGCUGAAGGCGUCUGAGGUAUGUGACAUGCUGGGCCAAACACUGGGGCUCCCUCUACUGGUCCGAGAGGAAGAGACCACGGAGAUGAGGACAGAUGAAUGGAGAGAUGGAGGAGUGGAAGGAGGACAGGGGAGGAAAAGGGAGGACGCACGUCAGCCCCGCCUCACCGCCACGUCCCGUGUUUUCGUCAGCUUUAACCUCAGACCCAAAGAACGAAGCAGGGAGAAGCUUUGAGGGUGGGGUUACCCGUCAGGUCUUGCAACACGGCAAACAACACAUUGUUUUUCUCUCAGACCUUCGAUCAAAGCUCAUGUUUAUAAUAACUGAUGUCCAUGCAUUAUGUAAACGAAGACAUUCACGACUCAAAUCUCGGGUCUCUUUAUGAUAAUAAACUGCAAGCGUCCUUCAUUUGGUUCUGAUGCGGCCUUUCACAGUAAGUGGGUCCUGCUGAUUCUCAUUUAGGGUAAUUGAAUUAGCAUCAUUAUAUUUUCAAUGUGUUUGGGUCAAUACAUGGGUUAACUCUGUGUCUUACUGCCCAGAGGGGAUAUUCCAGAAACAUGACUAAGUCCCUGAACAUAUAACUGGAUUCCCGCACCACCCAGAAACCCAGGCCAAAAAUGGGUCCAAGUAAGGUUUAUUUGUAUUAUAACCAGUAUAGAUAGAGAUACAGUUUGAACACUGCUUUCUCUCUCCCUAAUUAGCGGCAUGUUGGCCACUGGUGAGAAACAACUCUUCUGUCAAUCCCUGAUAUAAAGAGGACAAGAGUUAGGACACCACUGUCUGUUCUGGAGACAACCCACCCCAUGUUGCUGGGUGACACCUCGACGUCUGGGAACUCCAGUCCAGGUUCAGGGUGACCUCAUGACCUGUGACCUGGUACGAGGGUGUAGUGAGGAGAGAGUUCACUGGAGUGAUGCUCCCCCACUUUUUACAAUGGUGCUCAAUGGCUGAAGAAAGAAGAAUGAAUUAAUGUUUUAGACCUGCUGAUUAAUAACCAGACUUUUCUAAAUGCAACACAUCAACUAUAAAAGGACACUGUUAUAACUGCCUCUGUAAUAUCUUAGCCAAUGGCACGUAAUAACUGAUUAGAUAAUGUCUUAGCCAAUGGCAUGUAAUCCUGGUAAUGUCUUAGAUAGUGUAUUAAUGGUUAUAUAGUGUGUUAACCUGAACAGGACAUCUUCUCCACCUCUUCUUGACAGAUGUGAUCCAGUCUUUUCUUGAGCUCAGUGAUUUUCCUCUUCAGAUCAUCAAACCCCAGAGAAGAGCUAAUGAGGGGACUGCAUAGGCCUUUGGGAUCAACCAGGUCACCAAGAGACUGGGCAGUCUGCAGAGAGACAGAUAGUCAUGAAUAGAGACAAAAAGAUGUGUAAAUGAAUACAGGGAAAUUUAUGGAGAGACUCAUAGAUACAGACAGAUGGAGAGAUUAAUCGGUUGAAAAGAAUUGAGGAAAUCUCAAUGCAUUUAACUGAAAUCUCUUUCUUCGUGUUGAAUGUAUAAUGGAUCCUUUUUGGUCGAUCACUGUACAAAACACACCUUAAGGUAGCGCAAUUGCGGAUGAGUUGAUGGGGUGAGGAGAGGUGGAUUAGGUAAGGGGAAUUAAUUGAGGGGAUGAGGUGAGAGGAUGAGGUGAGGGGGAUACAUUUGGGGGAUUAGGUGUGGGGGAUGAGAUGAGGGUGUGAGGUGAGAGGAUGAGGUAAAAAGAUAAGGUGAGGGUAUAAGUGGGAAGGAGGAGAUGAUGAGGGACGAGGUGAGAGGAUGAGGUUAUCAUUACUGCAGAAGGGCAGGAAAAUGACCUGGAGGAGGGACAUGUGGUCUUCGGUAUGUGAAAGCUGCUCCAACUCAUCGUCUCUCCUUAACUCUGCUAUCUCCUGCUCCAGUUGCCCCAGGUGUUCUUCAACCCGACUCAAUUCAGCCUUCUCCUGGGCUCUGAUCAUGUCCUUCACCUCAGAGUGUCUUCUCGCCAUGGAGCAGAUCAUCUCAGUAAAGAUCUUCUCACUGUCCUCCACAGCUGCCUGUACUACACACUGUUAGGACCGAAAUAGUAGAGUAAGAGGGAAAUAAGGCAUGUUAAUUGGCAACUUUACAGUGUCAAGGGAAAAUCACAGGAUGAGAAAUCUGGAUUGCAACAAGUAAACAAUUAUUCAAUUUACAGGCAUAUGAACGGAAACCCGCAGGUUAGGUUGAGCAGCUGUAUGAGAGUCACCCACCAGCUUUUAAACCAAACUGAACAAAACUAAAUCUGGAAGUUCCCAGGCCAGUACAGUGCACUUCAGAAAAACUAAAAAUGAACCUUGUUACAGAGAAGCCGCAUAUCCUUAAAUCCGCAAAAGCUGAUUCGUCUAUUUUACCUGUGUAAUAAUUUUUUGAUUGAGAUUUAUGUUUGUUUUUGGGGAUUGACUUUGGAUAGAUAAUGUUUUGAGUAAAAUGUACUACUAUUGA